rnacentral:lncRNA from 1 species
GUAAAUGAUUGAGGGAGGCAGGGAUGGCUCCACCAGGAUGUAACCAGACAGACUGCUGUCCUGUCCGGAGGCCUGGACCUUCUCUCUUUGAUUUAACUUUACCAUGAAUUACAACAGACGCCUAGGUACCUAUCUCCUUUAGCUUAGAGACAACAAACACUAGUUAAUUGCAGAGAAGACGAUCAUUAACCUUAUGCUCUAUAGAAUGGAAUGCUAAUAAAUAUUCUUGUGCUCGUUUCUUACUUCCUUAUCUCUCUGAGAAUAUUUGUAAAACUAUUUCUGUACUAAUCCUGAAAAAUAUAUAAACGACACUUGUGCACAGUAAAGUCGGACUUGCUAACACCAACCCAAGUCUCACGUCCCCUUUAUUUCCCCCUCCCUCAUCGCGCCGACGCCGUCCAUCCCUCAGGAACCUGGACUCCGCCGGGGCGGGACCCCGGCAAGUGGCGCCCGAACAGGGACCUGAAGGGUAAGUUCCCCCACUUCUCGGGACGGAUAGGAUCCUACCCAGGGCUGGAAAGAAGAGCCCCCUUUAGCCCCUCUCUGCCAAAGGGAGAGUGAGGAAAGGACAGAAGGGUAGUAGGUGUUAAGAACUUUGAGAAGUUUUUGGCCCUCUCUAGAAAGGGAGAUGAAAUAAAUAAUAAUAAUAAUAAUAAUAAUAAUAAUAAUAAUUGAGAAGUUUUUGCCCCUCUCUAGAAAGGGAGAUGAAAUAAAUAAUAAUAAUAAUAAUAAUAAUAAUAAUAAUAAUUGAGAAGUUUUUGCCCCUCUCUAGAAAGGGAGAGUGAAAUAAUAAUAAUAAUAAUAAUAAUAAUAAUAAUAAUAAUUGAGAAGUUUCUGCCCCUCACUAGAAAGGGAGAGUGAAAUAAUAAUAAUAAUAAUAAUAAUAAUAAUAAUUGAG